AGUUUUCAAGUUGGUCCAAAUCAGGAUUCCAUAUCAAGUAUUGUGCAAUAGCAAGAAAUUUUCAAUUGCACAGUAUUGCACAAUAGCAAGAAAUAUCUAAUUGCACAAUAUUGUGCAAUAGCAAUUAAUUUUCAAUUGGAGUUAUCUUUCUUUGUAUAGAAUAGUAGUUGAUAAUAUAUGUUGGAAAUUUGCAUACACAAGACACCAUGGUCAUAUCUCUAGUAAUAUUUUCAUAAGACGAGGGACCCAAUAUGACAUACACAAGACCCCAUGGUCUUAUCUCUAGUAAUAUUUUCAUAAGACCAGGGACCCCAUAUGACAUACACAAGACACCAAUGUCGUAUCUCUAGUAAUAUUUUCAAAGACCAGGGACCCCAUAUAACAUACACAAG
rnacentral:lncRNA from 1 species